AGAGAGCCGAGGUCGACUCAUCCCGAAGUAGCUGACGGUCGACUCACCCCGAAGAAGCUCAAAUGUCCUUCUCUUUCGUGAGGAUUUCGCAACUAGCAAAAACUCAGUGCAGUGGAAUGCCCGGAGGUCCUGGUCAACAAAAGAAAAGGGAAGUGACCGAACCUGAAGAAGUCAAACUACUGUCCGGAUUCUCCACAAGGGCAAAAUGCUGGAGUGAUGGAGGGGCAUUUAGAUGGAGGUAAUGAAGAAAGACCCAGACAACACAACAGUGGAUGAAGUGAUGUCUGCUACUUUCUCGCUUCGCCGUAAAGAAACAGUU